rnacentral:lncRNA from 1 species
GGGAGGGGGAUAUGUAGAUAAGAGUACUUACAAUUUUAAGUGAUUAAGUGAACUUUCUCUAUCCGCUCUCCCUAUUUUAUUGGAAACUUUAUUCGGGGGUAGCAACUUAGUUCUCGACAGUAUUGAUAUGUCCUACAACAAACAUGAAAGCUGAAGAAAAGUUAUACCCUUGAAGAUAUUGGAACUUUGAGCAUAAUGAUCUUGUGUAGCCAUAUCCUUUCUAACUGCUAGUAUUGUCAUUUAAUUGCUCAGAACAUCAAAGCAGCUUCUUCAGACGCAUCACAGUUAAUUCCACAAAUAUAUCUUCAACAAACCACAAAAUUAAUUAUAUUUCUUUCACAUGAUUUCAUCAUCAUUCUGCAUUGUAACAAGACUGUUAGAAAUUACAAUAUCAAAACAAAAAUAACUUCCAAAGUAAUAAUAUGCUAUAGAUACAUACCAGUGCUGCAAAGUUUGUGGAAACGAGUACGAUAUACUGCCACCGAGAUUGUUUUUACUCAAAUCUCUGCAAAAGUUCCAAAGCCUUAGUAACAAUAAAACACACUCCUCUAUCCCUAAUUAUAUGCACCCUUUAGAAGAAAAAAAAAGACCCUAAAUAUAAUAAGCUCCCUAACUUACAAGUUGGUCAAAGUUGACGCUUUUGAGUGUUUUUAUUUUGGUUUGUCUAUUACUUUUCCUUUUUUUUUUAAUAUUAAAUUACUCUUUUUUAAGCAUAUUAAUAUUAAUACUAAGAAGUAU